GUCCGACUAAGCCAUGCGAGUCAUGGGGCGCGCUCUGCGCGCACCGGCGGACGGCUCAGUAACACGUCGGUAACCUACCCUCGGGAGGGGGAUAACCCCGGGAAACUGGGGCUAAUCCCCCAUAGGCCUGAGGUACUGGAAGGUCCUCAGGCCGAAAGGGGCUUUGCCCGCCCGAGGAUGGGCCGGCGGCCGAUUAGGUAGUUGGUGGGGUAACGGCCCACCAAGCCGAAGAUCGGUACGGGCCAUGAGAGUGGGAGCCCGGAGAUGGACACUGAGACACGGGUCCAGGCCCUACGGGGCGCAGCAGGCGCGAAACCUCCGCAAUGCGGGAAACCGCGACGGGGGGACCCCCAGUGCCGUGGCAUCGCCACGGCUUUUCCGGAGUGUAAAGAGCUCCGGGAAUAAGGGCUGGGCAAGGCCGGUGGCAGCCGCCGCGGUAAUACCGGCGGCCCGAGUGGUGGCCGCUAUUAUUGGGCCUAAAGCGUCCGUAGCCGGGCCUGUAAGUCCCUGGCGAAAUCCCACGGCUCAACCGUGGGGCUUGCUGGGGAUACUGCAGGCCUUGGGACCGGGAGAGGCGGAGGGUACUCCUGGGGUAGGGGUGAAAUCCUAUAAUCCCAGGAGGACCGCCAGUGGCGAAGGCGCUCCGCUGGAACGGGUCCGACGGUGAGGGACGAAGGCCAGGGGAGCGAACCGGAUUAGAUACCCGGGUAGUCCUGGCUGUAAAGGAUGCGGGCUAGGUGUCGGGUGAGCUUCGUGCUCGCCCGGUGCCGAAGGGAAGCCGUUAAGCCCGCCGCCUGGGGAGUACGGCCGCAAGGCUGAAACUUAAAGGAAUUGGCGGGGGAGCACUACAAGGGGUGGAGCGUGCGGUUUAAUUGGAUUCAACGCCGGGAACCUCACCGGGGGCGACGGCAGGAUGAAGGCCA
rnacentral:rRNA from 1 species